GGGAAAGUCGGGGACCGCAAGGCCUGACGCGAUUGGAUGAGCCCAUGUUCGAUUAGCUAGUUGGCGGGGUAACGGCCCACCAAGGCGACGAUCGAUAGCUGGUCUGAGAGGAUGAUCAGCCACACUGGAACUGAGACACGGUCCAGACUCCUACGGGAGGCAGCAGUAGGGAAUAUUGGACAAUGGGCGCAAGCCUGAUCCAGCCAUGCCGCGUGAGUGAAGAAGGCCCUCGGGUUGUAAAGCUCUUUUGUUGGGGAAGAAAAGCAGUUGGUUAAUACCCGAUUGUUCUGACGGUACCCAAAGAAUAAGCACCGGCUAACUUCGUG
rnacentral:rRNA from 1 species